AUGACCCUGGGUAGCCACUGAGCACUGUGCUCGCACUGGGUGCCACCUCGACUCCACUCUCCUCUCUCUCUGGGAUCAUAGAGUCAAAGGUGUCCUGUGAUCUGUUGGCCAAUCCCAGAAGCUCAGUGUGCAGAAGAUUGAGGAGCAAUCAGGAUUCAACACAACAUGAAAUAAUUGACAAAUUCAGGGAAUGGUAAUCUGACCAUCCCCAGUUACAAAUGAUGUUUCAUGCUACCUUCUAUUCCUGCCCUCAUAAAUCAAGGAAAAGAAAAAAAGGACAUAUAUGCCUCUACCUUUUGAUUUCCAACAGUCUACCGAGAAGCCAAGAUUAUUUGCAGGGAAAGGAAAGGGGAAUGCCAUCCCCACCCUCUCACAGCUACAUGCCAGCUCCAGAGCACCUGUUCCCCCUACUUUGAAAAG